AGAAAUCCGGAUUUGCGCUUCAAGGAGGAAGGCAGGAAGCGAGGCGAGUCGGAGCGGCUUCUCACAUUCAAAGAAACCCCCCCAAAGGAGGCGAAAUGGGUCCCUCCCGUCUUUUUUCCACGCAGAGCGGGGCAGGAAAGAAAAGAAGCCCGACACGGGAUCGGCCCCAGCUCCGGCGGCUGGGAUUUUAUUUGGGGGGGGGGGUUUCGCGUGUCGGGAGCCGCCUGCAGACGGACGAACGGACGGACGGAACCUGGAGACUUUGCUUUGCCUUGGAAGGUCGUGGGAACGGGGAGAGAAAGCGAGAAAGAAGCGGGUAAAGGGGCCAGAUUUUCCUCCCCGGAGAAGGACGGUCGGGUUUCGGCUGGUCGGAGAGCGAAGCCCACCCCGGGAGAGAAGAGGCACCCCAUCGUGGUGGUGGGACUUCCCGAAGGAUUCGCGUGUCUUCUUCAUCGCCCCGGACGGGACACCCCAUGAUCCCACCCCGCAAGGGACAAGUCUCCGCCGCCGCACCCCGCUUUUGCAGAGAGAGUGGGAUCUGGUAGUAGGGAGGGGGACGCAAGAGCGAAGCAGGCCGGAGCAACGACCGGCCUUUCUGGAAGCCUCGCCCCGCGUUUUUAUGGGGCGCCGGGUGAGGAGGAGGAGGAGGAAGAGGGGAUAGCCGUGCCGUGUGCCAGGCAUUGGAAGGGCGGACGGGGCACGGAUGGAUGGCCUCUAUGGCGUUUGGAGGACGGUGAGCCCUUAAGAAACUCUGAAUUUUUAAGACCGGUCCGGCACGAAUCGCAGCGGAGAACCAAUUAAUACAUGUAAAUGACCCAUCAAAGAGGAGGCUGAUUUUUUCCCCCUCCCCUCUCCGAGCCCCGUUUGUGAAAGUUUGGCUGUGAUGCUCACCUCGGUCUGCACACAAUUGCACCUUUACAAAGAGAAAGUGACGGAGUUGCAGAAGUGAAAGGCACCCAAGCGUUUGCAAAGGGAUUUUGUGGCUGAGCGAAAUAUGCCUCUACAGCAUCGCAUUAUCAGAUCUCGGAGUUCAAGCAGGAUUCCAGAGACACCCCAAUUUUUUCGUCCAGGGUCUCCAAGCAAAUCUCCCAUUUUUCUUUCUUUUUGGGUCGCGAAUUUGACGGACAGAAGUGAAGACCACAAGGGGCUUCUGUGAUGGGCGGAGUUUCAAUUGGGCCGUCGUGGCUGCCAUUUUGACUUUUUUGACUUUACCUGCGUCUGCAAGGCAUUGGAGAUUCCUUGUCCUUCACCAAGAGGAACAAUUGUGUCGUGCAAUAUAUAUUUAUAUAUUUUAGGUAGGACUGCAAGGGAAAAAAGCAAGCUUUUAAAGCAUGUGGGAGACAAUAUGCUUAAUUUAACCUGAACAAUCAAAUUGAUGGGUGAAUUAAUCAUCAUUGUUUCGCCUUUUGUGCUCAUUUCCGUAAAAAUGUUCCUUUCUGAACUUAAAGGGAUUUAUUAUCAAAUAAAAAAUAUACAGGGUUGUCCAAUUCUGAAGAAA